UACGUAGGGGGCAAGCGUUGUCCGGAAUCAUUGGGCGUAAAGAGCGUGUAGGCGGCCAGAUAAGUCCGCUGUGAAAUCUCGAGGCUCAACUUCGAGCUGUCGGUGGAAACUGUCUGGCUAGAGUCCGGAAGAGGAGAAUGGAAUUCCUGGUGUAGCGGUGAAAUGCGCAGAUAUCAGGAAGAACACCCGUGGCGAAAGCGGCUCUCUGGGACGGUACUGACACUGAGACGCGAAAGCGUGGGGAGCGAACAGG
rnacentral:rRNA from 1 species